rnacentral:rRNA from 1 species
GGAAACGUAUGCUAAUACCGAAUAUGCUCUACGGAGUAAAGGAGCCCUCUUCUUGAAAGGUUUCGCUAUAGGAUGAGCCCGCGUGAGAUUAGCUAGUUGGUAAGGUAAUGGCUUACCAAGGCAACGAUCUCUAGCUGGUUUGAGAGGAUGAUCAGCCACACUGGGACUGAGACACGGCCCAGACUCCUACGGGAGGCAGCAGUGGGGAAUAUUGCACAAUGAGCGAAAGCUUGAUGCAGCCAUACCGCGUGUGUGAAGAAGGCCCGAGGGUUGUAAAGCACUUUCAAUUGUGAGGAAGAUAGUGUCGCUAAUAUCGGCAUUGUUUGACGUUAACUUUAGAAGAAGCACCGGCUAACUCUGUGCCAGCAGCCGCGGUAAUACAGAGGGUGCAAGCGUUAUUCGGAAUUACUGGGCGUAAAGCGCGCGUAGGCGGGCUAUUAAGUCAGUUGUGAAAGCCCUGGGCUCAACCUGGGAACUGCAUCUGAUACUGGUAGUCUAGAGUUUAAGAGAGGGAAGUGGAAUUCCAGGUGUAGCAGUGAAAUGCGUAGAUAUCUGGAGGAACAUCAGUGGCGAAGGCGACUUCCUGGCUUAAAACUGACGCUGAGGUGCGAAAGCGUGGGUAGCGAACGGGAUUAGAUAC